rnacentral:rRNA from 1 species
AAACCAACAGGGAUUGCCCUAGUAACGGCGAGUGAAGCGGCAACAGCUCAAAUUUGAAAUCUGGCCCUCGGGUCCGAGUUGUAAUUUGUAGAGGAUGCUUUUGGCGCGGUGCCUUCCGAGUUCCCUGGAACGGGACGCCUUAGAGGGUGAGAGCCCCGUACGGUUGGACACCAAGCCUCUGUAAAGCUCCUUCGACGAGUCGAGUAGUUUGGGAAUGCUGCUCUAAAUGGGAGGUAAAUUUCUUCUAAAGCUAAAUAUUGGCCAGAGACCGAUAGCGCACAAGUAGAGUGAUCGAAAGAUGAAAAGCACUUUGAAAAGAGGGUUAAACAGCACGUGAAAUUGUUGAAAGGGAAGCGUUUGCGACCAGACCUUUUCCUGGCGGAUCAUCCGGUGGUUUCCACCGGUGCACUUCGCCAGGUCGAGGCCAGCAUCGGUUUCCGCAGGGGGAUAAAAGCUCAGGGAACGUAGCUCCUCCGGGAGUGUUAUAGCCCUCCGCACAAUACCCUUGGGGGGACCGAGGACCGCGCCUUCGGGCAAGGAUGCUGGCAUAAUGGUUGUCAACGAC